rnacentral:rRNA from 1 species
UACGGGGGGGGGCAAGCGUUGUUCGGAAUUACUGGGCGUAAAGGGCUCGUAGGCGGCCAACUAAGUCAGACGUGAAAUCCCUCGGCUUAACCGGGGAACUGCGUCUGAUACUGGAUGGCUAGAGGUUGGGAGAGGGAUGCGGAAUUCCAGGUGUAGCGGUGAAAUGCGUAGAUAUCUGGAGGAACACCGGUGGCGAAGGCAGCCUCCUGGGCCAGCACUGACGCUGAGGAGCGAAAGCCAGGGGAGCAAACGGGG